rnacentral:sRNA from 2 species
GUAACACUAGUAUAAAAAAUCCAUUUGACACAUUUGUCACUAUAGGCUGCUGUAGUUUGUCGUUAGACAGCUGUAGCCUGCCUUGAAUACUAGCAACUAAUCCGCUCUAUCACCUUUGACUGUCUUGUGACUGUUCAGAAUCUUUUUUGGCUGCGCACAUUCCGGUAUUGAAUUCUAUAUCAUAAUUUCGGCUUAUUAUUCUUCUGGGGCGUACGCCACCCCCUAUUAUCAAGGAUGGUGUAUGCUACCACACUAGUUAUUUUGUAUAAGAAGAGCUGCAAAGCUUAGAAGCUUUGAGAAGCUCAAGCAAUCUUUGAAUCAUAUCUGAUAGCAUGUCUAAACUGAAG